UUUUUUUUUAAUGUUGCAAAAAGAAUUCCGCUCUAAAUUCUGUUAACGUUUACAUAUUUAAUUCAACUGUUGCCAAAUAUUCUACGAAUGUCGCUAAAAUCAUAUGCAUGGGCAGUAUUGCUGCGUUGAAAUAUGUUUAAAAGUUACAAAAUAUUAACUGAAAAUAGUUUUUUUUUCUUUGCAUCAAAAUCUAUGCAUUAAAAAAAAUGUUGUGCUAAUUUUAAUCUACAGGUAAAUUAGGUUUUACUUUUCAGAUUUUUCAAAUGGAAUAACUCUUAUUUUUAAACUUGUAUUUUUCUGCUUAUUGAUCUAUGUGAGGAUAACAAUUCUAAUGUAUAUAUAUAUUUCUCAUAUGUCGCAC